GUAGGGAAACCGAGUCUUAACCGGGCGUUAAGUUGCAGGGUAUAGACCCGAAACCCGGUGAUCUAGCCAUGGGCAGGUUGAAGGUUGGGUAACACUAACUGGAGGACCGAACCGACUAAUGUUGAAAAAUUAGCGGAUGACCUGUGGCUGGGGGUGAAAGGCCAAUCAAACCGGGAGAUAGCUGGUUCUCCCCGAAAGCUAUUUAGGUAGCGCCUCGUGAACUCAUCUCCGGGGGUAGAGCACUGUUUCGGCUAGGGGGCCAUCCCGGCUUACCAACCCGAUGCAAACUGCGAAUACCGGAGAAUGUUAUCACGGGAGACACACGGCGGGUGCUAACGUCCGUCGUGAAGAGGGAAACAACCCAGACCGCCAGCUAAGGUCCCAAAGUCAUGGUUAAGUGGGAAACGAUGUGGGAAGGCCCAGACAGCCAGGAUGUUGGCUUAGAAGCAGCCAUCAUUUAAAGAAAGCGUAAUAGCUCACUGGUCGAGUCGGCCUGCGCGGAAGAUGUAACGGGGCUAAACCAUGCACCGAAGCUGCGGCAGCGACACUAUGUGUUGUUGGGUAGGGGAGCGUUCUGUAAGCCUGUGAAGGUGUGUCGUGAGGCAUGCUGGAGGUAUCAGAAGUGCGAAUGCUGACAUAAGUAACGAUAAAGCGGGUGAAAAGCCCGCUCGCCGGAAGACCAAGGGUUCCUGUCCAACGUUAAUCGGGGCAGGGUGAGUCGACCCCUAAGGCGAGGCCGAAAGGCGUAGUCGAUGGGAAACAGGUUAAUAUUCCUGUACUUGGUGUUACUGCGAAGGGGGGACGGAGAAGGCUAUGUUGGCCGGGCGACGGUUGUCCCGGUUUAAGCGUGUAGGUGUGUGUUCCAGGUAAAUCCGGUUCACUUUAACACUGAGGCGUGAUGACGAGGCACUACGGUGCUGAA
rnacentral:rRNA from 1 species